GAUGAACGCUGGCGGCGUGCCUAAUACAUGCAAGUCGAGCGAACAGAUGAGGAGCUUGCUCCUCUGACGUUAGCGGCGGACGGGUGAGUAACACGUGGAUAACCUACCUAUAAGACUGGGAUAACUUCGCGAAACCGGAGCUAAUACCGGAUAAUAUAUUGAACCGCAUGGUUCAAUAGUGAAAGACGGUUUUGCUGUCACUUAUAGAUGGAUCCGCGCCGCAUUAGCUAGUUGGUAAGGUAACGGCUUACCAAGGCAACGAUGCGUAGCCGACCUGAGAGGGUGAUCGGCCACACUGGAACUGAGACACGGUCCAGACUCCUACGGGAGGCAGCAGUAGGGAAUCUUCCGCAAUGGGCGAAAGCCUGACGGAGCAACGCCGCGUGAGUGAUGAAGGUCUUCGGAUCGUAAAACUCUGUUAUUAGGGAAGAACAAAUGUGUAAGUAACUAUGCACGUCUUGACGGUACCUAAUCAGAGAGCCACGGCUAACUACGUG
rnacentral:rRNA from 1 species